rnacentral:lncRNA from 1 species
ACCACUGCAUUUAGAAAUUGAAAGCAUUCAUGCAGACAAGGAUGAUUCUUUAUAUUUUUGGCUACCACUUCAAAUGCCUCCACCAAGUGUUACAAUGCUGCACGCAGCCAUACUAAGGAUCUCGCAGCAACACCUGCAGGUAAAAAGCAGAAGCAGUCGAAGUGCUGGUGUGUUCUGGACACUAUGCUUGAAAACUUUUAGGCAAGAAGAGUGCAAGAAGCAGACAUAACAACUGCAUUUAUUUCCAUAAUUCCCCAUUUGAAUGGCCUUUUCUUUUUGCUUAGACAAUGCCUACACCUAGCCACAGCAGCUCCCUCAUACAGACUCCGCAAGCCAAGAGGCCGUGGAGGCAAAUGCAGCCAGCACACCUCGAACAGCCACCUUGACUGCGGGUGUGUCACCCUAGUCGGCAAGGAAACAUUUGAGGGAAAGCGACAGGCAAUGUGGACAGCCACUUCUCCAUGCAAAUGAUACUCUUUCUCUCGGAUGACUCCUACGCAUCGCCACGCCAGCACACUUGUGCACAAAGAUGCCGCGGAGGCACGUGCAGGUCAGAGGCAAGAAGCAGGGCCACUGGUGUCGACAUUCACCCAAUUUCUUUUUCUUACACUGAGGCAGCCAGCACACCUCCAACAGCCACCUUGACUGCGGGUGUGUCAGUAGAUUCCUGCUGUACAUAUGCUAAUAAUAAACUUCAGUAAACUUGAACUUGAUAAUAAACUUGAAGGCAAAUGGGACAUU